rnacentral:rRNA from 1 species
AUGAAGGCCAACUGGAUCAUCCUCAUCCACCAAUCUGGUAGUACGUGGCGUCUCGUGGAUAUCUACACCCAAAUUAACCGAUGCAACUCCAAGAAGGAUCAGUCGGUGCUGCCGGCUGGUGUCAAGUUCGAUCCCACGGAUCAGGAGCUGAUCAAGCACCUUGAGUCCAAAGUGAGUGCUGACAGCGCGAGAUCUCACCCUCUCAUCGAUUUGUUCAUACCAACCAUCGACAACAAGCAUGACAUAUGCUACACCCAUCCUGAGAAACUUCCAGGUAUCACACUGAGUGGCCUAAGCAAGCAUUUCUUCCAGCGCAAUUCCAAGGCAUUCAAAAGGGGCAUGUGGACGCGUCGCAAGAUACAGUCGGAGUGCGGCAUGCAUGCGAUGUGGCACAAGACCAGCAAUACCUUGCCGGUGAUGAGGACCAACUGGGUGAUGCACCAGUACCACCUCGGGGACCUGGAGCAAGAGAAGGAGCGGGAGCUGGUCUUCUGCAAGAUUUUCUACCAGACAAACACUAGGGCCAGGACUAAAAAGAUUAUAAGUUAG